rnacentral:rRNA from 1 species
AGUGGGGAAUAUUGCACAAUGGGCGGAAGCCUGAUGCAGCGACGCCGCGUGAGGGAUGACGGCCUUCGGGUUGUAAACCUCUUUCAGCAGGGACGAAGCGUAAGUGACGGUACCUGCAGAAGAAGCGCCGGCCAACUACGUGCCAGCAGCCGCGGUAAGACGUAGGGCGCGAGCGUUGUCCGGAUUUAUUGGGCGUAAAGAGCUCGUAGGCGGCUUGUCGCGUCGACCGUGAAAACUUGGGGCUCAACCCCAAGCCUGCGGUCGAUACGGGCAGGCUCGAGUUCGGUAGGGGAGACUGGAAUUCCUGGUGUAGCGGUGAAAUGCGCAGAUAUCAGGAGGAACACCGGUGGCGAAGGCGGGUCUCUGGGCCGAUACUGACGCUGAGGAGCGAAAGCGUGGGGAGCGAA